GACGAACGCUGGCGGCGUGCUUAACACAUGCAAGUCGAACGGAAAGGCCCUGCUUGCAGGGUACUCGAGUGGCGAACGGGUGAGUAGCACGUGGGUGAUCUGCCCUGCACUUCGGGAUAAGCCUGGGAAACUGGGUCUAAUACCGGAUAGGAGCCAUUUUUAGUGUGAUGGUUGGAAAGUUUUUUCGGUGUAGGAUGAGCUCGCGGCCUAUCAGCUUGUUGGUGGGGUAAUGGCCUACCAAGGCGGCGACGGGUAGCCGGCCUGAGAGGGUGGACGGCCACAUUGGGACUGAGAUACGGCCCAGACUCCUACGGGAGGCAGCAGUGGGGAAUAUUGCAAAAUGGGCGCAAGCCUGAUGCAGCGACGCCGCGUGGGGGAUGACGGCCUUCGGGUUGGAAACUCCUUUCGCUAGGGACGAAGCUUUUUGUGACGGUACCUAGAUAAGAAGCACCGGCUAACUACGUG
rnacentral:rRNA from 1 species